CAUGGCGUCACAGGGGAGUGGGCGGGGCUACUGGGGUUCAUACAGGUGUAGAAGGGUGUAACAUGGCGUCACAGGGGAGUGGGCGGGGCUACAGGGGUUCAUACAGGUGCAAGAGGGUGUAACAUGGCGUCACAGGGGAGUGGGCGGGGCUACAGGGGUUCAUACAGGUGUAGAAGGGUGUAACAUGGCGUCACAGGGGAGUGGGCGGGGCUACUGGGGUUCAUACAGGUGUAGAAGGGUGUAACAUGGCGUCACAGGGGAGUGGGCGGGGCUACUGGGCUUCAUACAGGUGUAGAAGGGUGUAACAUGGCGUCACAGGGGAGUGGGCGGGGCUACUGGGGUUCAUACAGGUGUAGAAGGGUGUAACAUGGCGUCACAGGGGAGUGGGCGGGGCUACUGGGGUUCAUACAGGUGUAGAAGGGUGUAACAUGGCGUCACAGGGGAGUGGGCGGGGCUACAGGGGUUCAUACAGGUGCAAGAGGGUGUAACAUGGCGUCACUGGGGAGUGGGCUGGGCCAACAGGGCUUCAUACAGGUGCAAGAGGGUGUAACAUGGCGUCACUGGGGAGUGGGCUGGGCCAACAGGGCUUCAUACAGGUGCAAGAGGGUGUAACAUGGCGUCACUGGGGAGUGGGCUGGGCCAACAGGGCUUCAUACAGGUGUAGGAGGGUGUAACAUGGCGUCACAGGGGAGUGGGCGGGGCUACUGGGCUUCAUACAGGUGUAGAAGGGUGUAACAUGGCGUCACAGGGGAGUGGGCGGGGCUACUGGGCUUCAUACAGGUGUAGAAGGGUGUAACAUGGCGUCACAGGGGAGUGGGCGGGGCUACUGGGGUUCAUACAGGUGUAGAAGGGUGUAACAUGGCGUCACAGGGGAGUGGGCGGGGCUACAGGGGUUCAUACAGGUGCAAGAGGGUGUAACAUGGCGUCACAGGGGAGUGGGCGGGGCUACAGGGGUUCAUACAGGUGUAGAAGGGUGUAACAUGGCGUCACAGGGGAGUGGGCGGGGCUACAGGGGUUCAUACAGGUGCAAGAGGGUGUAACAUGGCGUCACAGGGGAGUGGGCGGGGCUACUGGGGUUCAUACAGGUGUAGAAGGGUGUAACAUGGCGUCACAGGGGAGUGGGCGGGGCUAUGGGGCUUCAUACAGGUGUAGAAGGGUGUAACAUGGCGUCACUGGGGAGUAUGACAGCUGUCAAAAAGAGCAUAAGGCACAACCAUUAGCAACAUUUUUCGCAUAGUGUCAAAACAGCUGUCAAAAAGUUUGACAGUUCAUAAUUUAUUUAAUUAAAAUAAAAAUAUGACAAAAUUUGUUGAAUUUUUUUA